UACGUAGGGGGCAAGCGUUAUCCGGAUUUACUGGGUGUAAAGGGAGCGUAGGCGGGGAUGCAAGUUGGGUGUCAAAACUACCGGCUCAACUGGUAGUCGCACUCAAAACUGCAGCUCUUGAGUGAAGUAGAGGCAGGCGGAAUUCCUAGUGUAGCGGUGAAAUGCGUAGAUAUUAGGAGGAACACCAGUGGCGAAGGCGGCCUGCUGGGCUUUUACUGACGCUGAGGCUCGAAAGUGUGGGGAGCAAACAGG
rnacentral:rRNA from 1 species